rnacentral:rRNA from 1 species
CAGCAGCCACGGGAAAACGGAGGGAGCUAGCGUUGUUCGGAAUUACUGGGCGUAAAGCGCACGUAGGCGGCUUGGUAAGUUAGAGGUGAAAGCCCGGAGCUCAACUCCGGAAUUGCCUUUAAGACUGCCGAGCUAGCAGGUGAGAGAGGUAAGUGGAAUUCCGAGUGUAGAGGUGAAAUUCGUAGAUAUUCGGAAGAACACCAGUGGCGAAGGCGGCUUACUGGCUCAUACUGGACGCUGAGGUGCGAAAGCGUGGGGAGCAAACAGGAUUAGAUACCCGGGUAGUCCCUGUCUCUUAUAC